AACGAACGCUGGCGGCAGGCUUAACACAUGCAAGUCGAGCGAGACCUUCGGGUCUAGCGGCGGACGGGUGAGUAACGCGUGGGAACGUGCCCUUCUCUACGGAAUAGCCCCGGGAAACUGGGAGUAAUACCGUAUACGCCCUUUGGGGGAAAGAUUUAUCGGAGAAGGAUCGGCCCGCGUUGGAUUAGGUAGUUGGUGGGGUAAUGGCCCACCAAGCCGACGAUCCAUAGCUGGUUUGAGAGGAUGAGCAGCCACACUGGGACUGAGACACGGCCCAGACUCCUACGGGAGGCAGCAGUGGGGAAUCUUAGACAAGGGGGGCAACCCUGAUCUAGCCAUGCCGCGUGAGUGAUGAAGGCCUUAGGGUUGUAAAGCUCUUUCAGCUGGGAAGAUAAUGACGGUACCAGCAGAAGAAGCCCCGGCUAACUCCGUG
rnacentral:rRNA from 1 species